rnacentral:rRNA from 1 species
GAUGAACGCUGGCGGCGUGCCUAAUACAUGCAAGUCGAGCGAACAGACGAGGAGCUUGCUCCUCUGACGUUAGCGGCGGACGGGUGAGUAACACGUGGAUAACCUACCUAUAAUACUGGGAUAACUUCGGGAAACCGGAGCUAAUACCGGAUAAUAUAUUGAACCGCAUGGUUCAAUAGUGAAAGGCGGUUUUGCUGUCACUUCUAGAUGGAUCCGCGCCGCAUUAGCUAGUUGGUAAGGUAACGGCUUACCAAGGCAACGAUGCGUAGCCGACGUGAGAGAGGGGUCGGCCGCACGAGAGCUGAGACGGGGACAAUGGUCCUGCGAGAGGCAGCAGUAGCGAAUGUUCCGCAAUAGGCGAGAGCAUGGCGGAACAGCGCCGAGUGAGUGAUAGAGAUCUUGGGAGCGUAAAGCUCUGUUAUUAGGGAAAAACAAAUGUGUAAGUAACUAUGGACUUCGUGACGGUACCUAGUCAGAAAGCCACGGCUAACUACGUG